rnacentral:rRNA from 1 species
AUUGAACGCUGGCGGCAGGCCUAACACAUGCAAGUCGAACGAGUGGCGGACGGGUGAGUAAUGUCUGGGAAACUGCCUGAUGGAGGGGGAUAACUACUGGAAACGGUAGCUAAUACCGCAUACCAUCGGAUGUGCCCAGAUGGGAUUAGCUGGUUGGAGGGGUAACGGCCCACCAAGGCGAUGAUCAGUAGCCGGUCUGAGAGGAUGAACGGGCACACUGGAACUGAGACACGGUCCAGACUCCUACGGGAGGCAGCGGUGGGGAAUAGUGCACAAUGGGCGCAAGCCUGAUGCAGCCAUGCCGCGUGUAUGAAGAAGGCCUUCGGGUUGUAAAGUACUUUCAGCGGGGAGGCGUUACCCGCAGAAGAAGCACCGGCUAACUCCGUGCCAGCAGCCGCGGUAAUAC